rnacentral:rRNA from 1 species
AGAGUUUGAUCAUGGCUCAGGAUAAACGCUGGCGGCGCACAUAAGACAUGCAAGUCGAACGGAAGCCGUUUAAAUUCAAAUGAAGUGAUUUGAGGAUUUAUCCGAUUUGAAACGAUUUUGUUUUUAGACAUAUGACUUUAGUGGCGACUGGUGAGUAACGCGUAAGCAAUCUGCCUAUCAGAGGGGAAUAACAGUGAGAAAUCGUUGCUAAUACCGCAUAUGCUCAAGUAUCACAUGAUACAAUGAGGAAAGGAGUAAUCCGCUGAUAGAUGAGCUUACGUCUGAUUAGAUAGUUGGUGGGGUAACGGCCUACCAAGUCGAUGAUCAGUAGCCGGACUGAGAGGUUGAACGGCCACAUUGGGACUGAGAUACGGCCCAGACUCCUACGGGAGGCAGCAGUCGGGAAUAUUGCGCAAUGGAGGAAACUCUGACGCAGUGACGCCGCGUGCAGGAUGAAGGUUUUCGGAUUGUAAACUGCUUUAGAUAGGGAAGAAACAAAUGACGGUACCUAUAGAAUAAGCUCCGGCUAACUACGUGCCAGCAGCCGCGGUAAUACGUAGGGAGCAAGCGUUAUCCGGAUUUAUUGGGUGUAAAGGGUGCGUAGACGGGUUAACAAGUUAGUAGUGAAAUCCCUCGGCUUAACUGAGGAACUGCUACUAAAACUGUUAAUCUUGAGUGCUGGAGGGGAAAGUGGAAUUCCUAGUGUAGCGGUGAAAUGCGUAGAUAUUAGGAAGAACACCGGUGGCGAAGGCGACUUUCUGGACAGUAACUGACGUUGAGGCACGAAAGUGUGGGGAGCAAACAGGAUUAGAUACCCUGGUAGUCC